rnacentral:tRNA from 1 species
GCCGAAGUGGUGGAAUGGUAGACACGAAGGUCUCAAAAACCUUUGAGAGUAAUCUCAUGGAGGUUCGACUCCUCUCUUCGGCA